rnacentral:rRNA from 1 species
CCUACGGGCGGCAGCAGUGGGGAAUAUUGCGCAAUGGGCGAAAGCCUGACGCAGCGACGCCGCGUGAGGGAUGAAGGUCUUCGGAUCGUAAACCUCUGUCAGCAGGGAAGAACGGUCACUGUGCUAAUCAGCAGUGAGUUGACGGUACCUGCAAAGGCAGCACCGGCUAACUCCGUGCCAGCAGCCGCGGUAAUACGUAGGGAGCGAGCGUUGUCCGGAAUUACUGGGUGUAAAGGGAGCGUAGGCGGGGAUGCAAGUUGGGGGUCAAAACUACCGGCGCAACCGGGAGACGCACUCAAAACUGGAGCUCUGGAGUGAAGGAGAGGCAGGCGGAAUGCCUGGUGGAGCGGUGAAAUGCGGAGAUAUUAGGAGGAACACCAGUGGCGAAGGCGGCCUGCUGGGCUUUUACUGACGCUGAGGCUCGAAAGUGUGGGGAGCAAACAGGAUUAGAUACCCGGGUAGUC